UUUCUCAGGGAAUAAGUAAUGAAGGUACCUGAGGAAUCAGCAUCGGCUAACUCCGUGCCAGCAGCCGCGGUAAUACGGAGGAUGCAAGCGUUAUCCGGAAUGAUUGGGCGUAAAGCGUCCGCAGGUGGUUUUUCAAGUCUGCUGUCAAAGAGUCUGGCUCAACCAGAUAAAGGCAGUGGAAACUGAGAGACUAGAGUAUGGUAGGGGUAGAGGGAAUUCCCGGUGUAGCGGUGAAAUGCGUAGAGAUCAGGAAGAACACCGGUGGCGAAAGCGCUCUACUGGGCCAUAACUGACAUCAGAGACGAAAGGCA
rnacentral:rRNA from 1 species